UUUUAGAAAUUUAUUUUUGUGUCCAGUUAGCAAGGCACAUUUAAAUAAAUUGCACUAACUUCAGUAGCUAGCAAGCUACCAGCUCGAGUCUGCAGUUUUCUCCGCCAGAAUGGCCAACGCUGCCGAAAAUGAUAUGGACUUUUUGUUGAAGAACCCCUUUCAUUCUCUGGGGUACACGGAAAACGUGCGAAUUAAAAGCGAGGGUCGACCUCUGCCUGAGAUCAGUUUCAUGAAGAAGGAUGAAAAGGUGAGGACGUUCAAUACUAACUGGUAUCAAAAGUAUAGCUGGUUAACAGGGAGCCUUUCAUCAAGCCGCCUGUAUUGCUGGCCUUGCCUGCUUUUUGGAAAGUAUGAGCCUUGGGCGAAAGAGGGGUACAGUGACCUGAAGAACAUCGACCGUUCAGCUAAACGGCAAAACAAAAGCAGUGAGCAUAUAAAUGCCCACAUCAGAGUCAAGCUUCUGGGGAAAAGAACAUCGAUUAUGACGAAGGUCUGCGUAUUCAAACUGCGCAGCAUAACGAGAAAGUAAGAAGAAACAGGGAUGUUCUCAAGCGGCUUAUCAACACCACUGCGUUUUUGAGCAUGCAAGAAUUUGCUUUUAGAGGACAAGAUGAGAGGGAAAGUUCCGCCAACAAGGGCAGCUACAGGGAGCUUGCAGAGUUAAGUCCCCUCCUGUUCCCUGAUUUUAAGAGGUGAUGACUACUCCACUCCACUACCAUUGUCAACUUUCUCCUGAAUUGAACUGAAGCCACGUCUCAUGUGUCCGCUCAUCCACUGGCACGUUGAAUGUUUCCCCUCCAAGCACUUCAAAUCCUGUCCUGCACUGGUCAAGCCUCUGAACACCUCAACUCAUGCCUCAUACCCUCAUUCAAUCACUGCUGUGAUCCCUUUCCAUCACUGUGUAGGUAGCCCUCCCAUUCCCCAUAAUAUUGUACUAUAAAUGUCUUUAUUAAAUGCUUUAGGUUAAAAUAAUUAGUCUUUGAAGAUUUUUGAAACACACUCGUCUCCGUGCGUUCCGCGCCUAUACCGUGGGUCUCCCAUCCUCCUCAAUUUUUCAAGUCACCAGCCUCCACUGGUCAUACCCAAGAAGACUCAAGGCUGU